rnacentral:lncRNA from 1 species
CAGAAAUGGAAGAAGCAGAUGUUAACAGCAAUUUUGCACAGACAACGCUGAAUUCUCACUUAAAAUAUGCUGGUCAGGCAAAAGGACCAAGUAUCAUUGAUCAAAUUUUCCAUCAGACUCUUCCAAGUGUUGAAAGCCUAGCUUGUAGGAGUUCUCUGAAUAUUGAUCAGCCGCUAACAUCAAGCCUGCGAGACACCUCUUUUAGCCUUCAAAAAUUCCAAGGAGGGAGAAGUGAAAACGAGAGUAGUAAAUUAAUGAUGAAUAGCAGUGAAGUGCUCAAUAAAGGCAUUUGUGGUAAGAAAAAAGCAGAGAUGUCUCUGCUGAUAAACGAGAAUAAAGACAUGGAGGUAUCUGACAAGCAAGUAGGGUCACCGUUGUCAUGUGGAGACAUGCUAGAUAACGUGAAAUGUUCGGUUAAAGACGGAGAAACUGCCACUGGGGAGAACUCAAGUAGACAAGCCAGUGUGUUACAGAAUAGUGAUUCCCAAAACGAGAUGGGAAAAGACGUUCAGGACCAAAUGACUGAGAUUUCGGUGCCAUUAACAGCUGAGGAGGACAUAAUGAAGGAAAUGAUGACGCCGGCUGAUGAUGCUGAUCGUGCCAAGUCGCCCACAGAGAAAGAUUGGGAACUGACAGUGAUGGAGGGAAUAGAAAUUAAUUUCAGUACGAAUCCUGAUAGUGCACCAGCAGAAAAUCUCAGAGAUGAACAAAACCUGAAAGAUACCAUUUCUAAUGAGUGUUCAUUCGAGGCGACAUCAGACAUAUACAAAGACGUUCAGGAAGCACAGGGUGUUGGUAAUACCCAGGAUGUUAGCUGUGUGACUGAUUGUUUGGAGAAAGAGGAGGAUUUAGGUAGGAACAAAGCGGUUCAGAUGAUUGAAGCAACUAUGGAGGGAGAAGAAACUGAAGUUCUGGGGGCAAAUGAGCUUGUGGAGGAACAUGCUGUGCCUUCUUCAGAUGAUAGGUGUUGGGAAACCACUAAUGGCUGGGAUGAUAAUGAUGAAAUGAAUGAGGAGGGGGACCAGUACAGUGCUGGGAAGAUUGAUGAACAGACACUACUGGAGGAAGAUGAAUUGAGUGAAGGACACAUUGCAAGUGCUGGGACUGCAGAUGAUGCAUCAAAUAGAGCUCUGACACUGAGAAAAACAGAAGAAAUAAUAAUCAGAGAUGCUCCUUGUGUCCAGACUGAAGUAUCGCUUCAGUCAAACUAUCAAAGCCCCAGAGUGUGCAGUGAGAAUAUCUCAGCGGUGACGUCCAAUUCAGAAUCAACAGAUGAAGAAGAUAUUGAAGUAGAUGUUGUCGAUGAGUCUGUAGAAGAUCCGUUAGGGCUUUUGACGGCUAGACAGUUUGUCACACUGGCUAUUGAGUGUCUAAUGGAGCAAGAGGAUGAGUUGGAUGCCACCGAAGAAGAGGAGGUAGAUGUCACUGGAGAAGAGACGGAGU